GUCUCUUCGGAGACAUCCGAUAAAAUUGGAACGAUACAGAGAAGAUUAGCAAGGAUGACACGCACAAAUCGAGAAAUGGUCCAAAUUUUU
rnacentral:snRNA from 1 species